rnacentral:rRNA from 1 species
GAUGAACGCUGGCGGCGUGCUUAACACAUGCAAGUCGAACGAAGCAUUUAAGACAGAUUACUUCGGUUUGAAGUCUUUUAUGACUGAGUGGCGGACGGGUGAGUAACGCGUGGGUAACCUGCCUCAUACAGGGGGAUAGCAGCUGGAAACGGCUGGUAAUACCGCAUAAGCGCACAGUACCACAUGGUACAGUGUGAAAAACUCCGGUGGUAUGAGAUGGACCCGCGUCUGAUUAGCUAGUUGGCGGGGUAACGGCCCACCAAGGCGACGAUCAGUAGCCGAGCUGAGAGGGUGACCGGCCACAUUGGGACUGAGACACGGCCCAGACUCCGACGGGAGGCAGCAGUGGGGAAUAUUGCACAAUGGAGGAAACUCUGAUGCAGCGACGCCGCGUGAGUGAAGAAGUAGUUCGCUAUGUAAAGCUCUAUCAGCAGGGAAGAUAGUGACGGUACCUGACGAAGAAGCUCCGGCUAAAUACGUG